AUCACGCUGGCGGCGUGCCUCAGACAUGCAAGUCGAACGUGAAAGCCCCCUUCGGGGGGCAAGUAGAGUGGCGCACGGGUGAGUAACACGUAGGUAAUCUACCUUCGGAUGGGGAAUAACAACCGGAAACGGUUGCUAAUACCGCAUAAUGCAGCGGCACCUAAUGGUGACAGUUGUUAAAGCGGGGGAUCGAAAGACCUCGCGUCUGAAGAGGAGCCUGCGGCGGAUUAGCUAGUUGGUAAGGUAAUGGCUUACCAAGGCGACGAUCCAUAGCCGGCCUGAGAGGGCGGUCGGCCACACUGACACUGACAUACGGGUCAGACUCCUACGGGAGGCAGCAGUCGGGAAUUUUGGGCAAUGGGCGAAAGCCUGACCCAGCAACGCCGCGUGAAGGAUGAAAUCCCUCGGGAUGUAAACUUCGCAAGAACGGGAAGAAUAAGUCGGUGCUAAUACCACCGGCGAUGACGGUACCGUUUGUAAGCUCCGGCUAACUCAGUGCCAGCAGCCGCGGUAAUACAGAGACUGCAAGCGUUGUUCGGAUUCAUUGGGCGUAAAGGGUCCGUAGGCGGUCGGUUAAGUCGGGUGUGAAAUCUCACAGCCUAACUGUGAGCGGUCAUUCGAAACUAAUCGGCUAGAGGGCUGGAGAGGAGACUGGAAUUGUCGGUGUAGCGGUGAAAUGCGUAGAGAUCGACAAGAACACCGGUGGCGAAGGCGGGUCUCUGGACAGUUCCUGACGCUGAGGGACGAAAGCUAGGGGAGCAAACGGGAUUAGAUACCCCGGUAGUCCUAGCCGUAAACGGUGCUUACUUGGUGUGGGGGGAGUCGACCCCCUCCGUGCCGAAGCUAACGCGAUAAGUAAGCCGCCUGGGAAGUACGAUCGCAAGGUUAAAACUCAAAGAAAUUGACGGGGGCCCGCACAAGCGGUGGAGCAUGUGGCUUAAUUCGAUGCAACGCGAAGAACCUUACCUGGCCUUGACAUCUAUCGUGAAAGCCGGUGAAAGCCGGUGACGGCCCGAAAGGGUGCUGGGGAUAGACAGGUGCUGCAUGGCUGUCGUCAGCUCGUGUCGUGAGAUGUUGGCUUAAGUGCCGCAACGAGCGCAACCCUUGUGACUAGUUGCUUGCGGGAAACCGUAAGGUCUCUAGUCAGACUGCCUCGAUUACCAUCGAGGAGGAAGGUGGGGAUGACGUCAAGUCAGUAUGGCCCUUACGGCCAGGGCUGCACACGUGCUACAAUGCCCGGCACAGAGGGAUGCGAGACCGCAAGGUGGAGCAAAUCCCUUAAAACCGGGCUCAGUUCGGAUUGCAGGCUGCAACUCGCCUGCAUGAAGCCGGAAUCGCUAGUAAUGGCGUAUCAGCUACGACGCCGUGAAUACUUCCCGG
rnacentral:rRNA from 1 species